rnacentral:rRNA from 1 species
AGAGUUUGAUCCUGGCUCAGAACGAACGCUGGCGGCAUGCCUGACACAUGCAAGUCGAACGAAGGCUUCGGCCUUAGUGGCGCACGGGUGAGUAACGCGUGGGAACCUGCCCAGCUGUGGGGAAUAACGACGGGAAACUGUCGCUAAUACCGCAUACGCCCCUCGGGGGAAAGAUUUAUCGCUGUUGGAUGGGCCCGCGUCCGAUUAGGUAGUUGGUGAGGUAACGGCUCACCAAGCCGACGAUCGGUAGCUGGUCUGAGAGGAUGAUCAGCCACACUGGGACUGAGACACGGCCCAGACUCCUACGGGAGGCAGCAGUGGGGAAUAUUGGACAAUGGGCGCAAGCCUGAUCCAGCAAUGCCGCGUGAGUGAUGAAGGCCUUAGGGUUGUAAAGCUCUUUCGACGGGGACGAUGAUGACGGUACCCGUAGAAGAAGCCCCGGCUAACUUCGUGCCAGCAGCCGCGGUAAUACGAAGGGGGCUAGCGUUGUUCGGAAUUACUU